GUUUGCCAGCCGUUACAGGCUUCACGUGGCUCUGCCGCUUGUUCUGUGAGCUGUCACCUGUACCGAGCUCGGGAGUCACAGGAACGUCGCCAGCGGACCCAAGAAAUCUAGAAAUGCCCCUGUCACCCUGUGACCUGCAAUGGCCGUGGGAGUCGUAGGAAGGACUCAGGGGACCCAGGAGCCCUGGAAAUGAUUCCUUCAUCAAUGGACUAGUGCAGCCCUUUGGCUCUAGUUUCCCUUAGCACUUGGGCCCUGAGACUGUUUGGCUGAGUCUGUUCUGUCCAGUCCUGUGUCCACAGCCUCUCAGCUGCACUUGGCCUUCCCCUCUGAAGGGACAUGAUGCCCCUUUACUGGGUUGUCCUCAUGGAUCUUCCACAGCUGUGCUCUCCCACAGCCACUGCAGGUGGGGUCUGAACUGCAUCCUGGUUUCUCCAAGAAC